AAGUCGUAACAAGGUUUCCGUAGGUGAACCUGCGGAAGGAUCAUUGACAAAUCUAUUUAACAAUAUGACAUUGGUUCAGGGUAAAACUUGAACUUAAUGUAAUAUUUACCCGGAGCCUGUUUGGCUCUGGCAAUUUUUGUAGCAAAGUUGAGGGAGUCAAAUCCUUCAUCUUUCUUAUGAAGAUUGUCAACUGAGCUGUUGAAGUGAAAUAUAUUCAAUAGCACAUAAACUCGAUUGUAUUGUUUGACAUUGUAUUAUUUAAUUGUAAUCUUGACACAUUUAGUGUUGAUUUUACUUGUU
rnacentral:misc_RNA from 1 species